rnacentral:lncRNA from 1 species
NNNNNNNNNNNNNNNNNNNNNNNNNNNNNACUCUCUACAAACACACGCUCACACACACACACACACACUCACACUCACACUCUCUACACGCACACUCACACUUAUACAUGCACAACCACACACUCUCUCUCACACACACACACUCUCUACAAACACACGCUCACACACACACACACACUCUCUACAAACACACGCUCACACACACACACACACUCUCUACAAACACACGCUCACACACACACACACACUCUCUACAAACACACGCUCACACACACACACACACUCUCUACAAACACACGCUCACACACACACACACACUCUCUACAAACACACGCUCACACACACACACACACUCUCUACAAACACACGCUCACACACACACACACACUCUCUACAAACACACGCUCACACACACACACACACUCUCUACAAACACACGCUCACACACACACACACACUCUCUACAAACACACGCUCACACACACACACACACUCUCUACAAACACACGCUCACACACACACACACACUCACACUCUCUACACUCACACUUAUACAUGCACAACCACACACUCUCUACAAACACACACUCACACACACACGCACACUCUACAAACACACACGCGCACACUCUCUACAAACACACACGCGCACACUCUCUACAAACACACACACUCACACUCUACAAACACACACUCACUCACACACACACACACACAUUCACACUCUACAAACACACACUCAUACAUGCAUACACACUCACACUCUCUACAAACACUCAUACUCAUAUACACACAUACUCUCUACAAACACACACUCACACACACACACUCUCUCUCUCUACAAACUCACGCGCGCGCACACACACACACACACGUUUGAUUAAUAAUAACCAUCAUUAAAGUAAGUGUCCGUCUCAUGGCUGAUCUCUCAACAGCUCUACUGGAGAUCAUUAAUGAGAGUUUGCUGUAGUAUAUGAAGCAGCGAUUCGUUAACGCACAUCCUCUUUCUCUUUAAAG